AACUUUCAACAAUGGAUCACUUGGCUCUCGCAUCGAUGAAGAACGCAGCGAAAUGCGAUACGUAAUGUGAAUUGCAGAAUUCAGUGAAUCAUCGAACCUUUGAACGCACCUUGCGCCCCUUGGAAUUCCGAGGGGCACACCCGUUUGAGUGUCGUGAACAUCCUUCAACCUUUCUUGGUUUCUUAACCGGGGAAGGCUUGGACUUUGGGGGUCUUUCAUUGCUGGCCUCUUUGAAGCCAGCUCCUCCUAAAUGGAUUAGUGUGGUCUGCUUUGCCGAUCCUUGACGUGAUAAGAUGUUUCUACGUCUUGGGUUUCGCACUGUCGCUUUAGACCCCGCUUCUAACCGUCUUGCAUUCAAGACAGAGUUUUAAACCUUGACCUCAAAUCGGGUGAGACUACCCGCUGAACUUAAGCAUAUCAAUAAGCGGAGGCU
rnacentral:misc_RNA from 1 species